rnacentral:rRNA from 1 species
AGAGUUUGAUCCUGGCUCAGGACGAACGCUGGCGGCGUGCCUAAUACAUGCAGUCGAGCGAGCAGAACCGCAGAUUUACUUCGGUAAUGACGCUGGGGACGCGAGCGGCGGAUGGGUGAGUAACACGUGGGGAACCUGCCCCAUAGUCUAGGAUACCACUUGGAAACAGGUGCUAAUACCGGAUAAUAAAGCAGAUCGCAUGAUCAGCUUAUAAAAGGCGGCGUAAGCUGUCGCUAUGGGAUGGCCCCGCGGUGCAUUAGCUAGUUGGUAAGGUAACGGCUUACCAAGGCAAUGAUGCAUAGCCGAGUUGAGAGACUGAACGGCCACAUUGGGACUGAGACACGGCCCAAACUCCUACGGGAGGCAGCAGUAGGGAAUCUUCCACAAUGGACGCAAGUCUGAUGGAGCAACGCCGCGUGAGUGAAGAAGGUUUUCGGAUCGUAAAGCUCUGUUGUUGGUGAAGAAGGAUAGAGGUAGUAACUGGCCUUUAUUUGACGGUAAUCAACCAGAAAGUCACGGCUAACUACGUGCCAGCAGCCGCGGUAAUACGUAGGAGGCAAGCGUUGUCCGGAUUUAUUGGGCGUAAAGCGAGCGCUGGCGGAAGAAUACUUCUGAUGUGAAAGCCCUCGGCUUAACCGAGGAAUUGCAUCGGAAACUGUUUUUCUUGAGUGCAGAAGAGGAGAGUGGAACUCCAUGUGUAGCGGUGGAAUGCGUAGAUAUAUGGAAGAACACCAGUGGCGAAGGCGGCUCUCUGGUCUGCAACUGACGCUGAGGCUCGAAAGCAUGGGUAGCGAACAGGAUUAGAUACCCUGGUAGUCCAUGCCGUAAACGAUGAGUGCUAAGUGUUGGGAGGUUUCCGCCUCUCAGUGCUGCAGCUAACGCAUUAAGCACUCCGCCUGGGGAGUACGACCGCAAGGUUGAAACUCAAAGGAAUUGACGGGGGCCCGCACAAGCGGUGGAGCAUGUGGUUUAAUUCGAAGCAACGCGAAGAACCUUACCAGGUCUUGACAUCUAGUGCCAUCCUAAGAGAUUAGGAGUUCCCUUCGGGGACGCUAAGACAGGUGGUGCAUGGCUGUCGUCAGCUCGUGUCGUGAGAUGUUGGGUUAAGUCCCGCAACGAGCGCAACCCUUAUUAUUAGUUGCCAGCAUUAAGUUGGGCACUCUAAUGAGACUGCCGGUGACAAACCGGAGGAAGGUGGGGAUGACGUCAAGUCAUCAUGCCCCUUAUGACCUGGGCUACACACGUGCUACAAUGGGCAGUACAACGAGAAGCGAGCCUGCGAAGGCAAGCGAAUCUCUGAAAGCUGUUCUCAGUUCGGACUGCAGUCUGCAACUCGACUGCACGAAGCUGGAAUCGCUAGUAAUCGCGGAUCAGAACGCCGCGGUGAAUACGUUCCCGGGCCUUGUACACACCGCCCGUCACACCAUGGAAGUCUGCAAUGCCCAAAGCCGGUGGCCCUAACCUUCGGGAAGGAGCCGUCUAAGGCAGGGCAGAUGACUGGGGUGAAGUCGUAACAAGGUA